UGGUGAAGUCACAAUGCCCUUCUUUAGGAGAGGACCCUCUCUGACAUUCCACAACUCAGCAGUCUCCUCAGCAUCCUCAGGAGCCCCAGAAACCUUCUGGCUGAUGGACAUUCAUUCCAAAUCAUAGCUGACUGUCUUCUGGGGCCAUCUAUCCCAGGCCUACCUCCCAAUGGAACCUCAGAGGUCAAGUAAAUAUAAAGAGAGGAUCAGGUGAGGUGAACAGCCUAUCUCCAUCACACACACCCUGCACAGCACAAGACAGCACACUGGAGGACGCCAUCUGGGGACUCAGAAAAGAACGGAAGAAGGUGAAGGUGGCAUGGGAGGGCUCUUCAAGUGCAGGGGGUGGCUCUGGGGCUUGGGAAGGCCCAGAAGGGCACCCGAGGGCCACAGAACACAGAGUGGACCUCUGGCUCUUCCCCAAUCUCUCCUGGCUGGGGGCUGGAGUAGGUUCAGAGAAACAUCAGGGAACACCGCAGAUGGUGCCCUUGACAGGAGCUGAGUUUCGAGGAAAAUCUGCAGCGAACCGUCUCGCCGUGGGUUCUCUGGAAGAAGCUAUUUUUAGAGGAAUUGGCUCUGGUAUGCGAAGAGACCAGCGCAUACUCCUCUGAGCUGCCUUGGCUUUGGAGAAAAAGCCAAGAGAGUCUGCCAGAUUGCUUUGCAGGAGAGGUAGGUACCCCUUCCAAAUGUCG
rnacentral:lncRNA from 1 species